rnacentral:lncRNA from 1 species
AUGCGCGGAGGCCGCCUGCUAGCAAGGUUCCCACGUAACAUCACAUCAGACCCAAGGGCCCGUUCAUUGCAAGGCGAAGGAGGCAUGACAAUGGCACGUGACCAUGGGAUCACUGGUCCUGUCACAUUCUGCACCACCCAGAAGAUACUGGCUUGAACGAAGAGAAGAAAUGGGCUGUUGAAGGCGUAGCUGAGAUGCCAGCUCAGAGACGAUGAUACCAAGUGCUGAACCUGAGAGCAGCCCCAGUACACUCCCUGCAUGGGAAUCUCCAUCUCAAAGUCAGCCUCCAGGGAGCCCGCCCUGAAACAGAUUCUGUCAUGGAACUCAACAGAGUAUCCUGGUGCGGAUAACCAGUGUUGGGAGUUAGAGCACGGACUCUCUCCACCUGCACGGUGCUGGAGCUCUGCACACCCCCUCUGCAGCCAUCCCUCGCCGCUGUCCCUUAGCUGACGCCCUUGCCCUCUGUGUGUCCUUCCUCAUGGCCUGCAGGUUUCAGAUCCCAAGCUACAGAUCAUGUCUUCUAGUCUGGGCUCUGGCAGAGAGUUCGGAAGCACUCUUAUUAUCUUAGCAGCAGCAUGUGUGGAAAUCAUUUCUCAUUACAGCGGAGGGCAGGCAUUGUGCAGAGGGUUAAGUGGGCCUGCUUGAAGUUGGUUGUUGUUAGCUCUCAUGUCUAUGCCUUGGUCCCUUUCCCCUCAGGACUUGGAGAGCAAGCUGUUUGAGUCUGAUGCAACCCCUGGGCUUUGACUAUCAUGCCAAAAGGCAGCAAAUAAGUGCCUUUUCUUCCCUUCAGAAUACAUGGACAAUCCAAAGCUCUAUUAGUCUAUUAUUCAGAAUGAAAAGUGUUUACAAUAUUCGUCCUCUUACUCCUCAGUAUGUGAGACUGUUCCUCGUAGCAGGUAAUUUCUUCCGAAUUCAAAAACUCCUCAUGGAAGCAUCUGUUUUUGUCAUCAAGGAGGGGGCUGUAUGUGGAAUUGCAAGGCCAAAGACAUCUCGGGUCAACUCUUCUCAGGACCAGAUCCAAGUCGCCAGUGAGAACACACAUUCAGGCAGCCUCCACCAGCGCCCUGCCUCAGGAGCGAGGCUCCCUGCUUCAUGUGGGCAAGAGCUGCCCUUGUUUUCCCAGCGGGCAGUUGGGGGUCUGGAGCCUAGGAAGCAAAGUGAAGCACACACUCCUGCUUCCUUCCUUCCCUGCAGUUGGUGAGUAUCUGGCUCAGUUUAGGU